rnacentral:rRNA from 1 species
AGCAGCCGCGGUAAUUCCAGCUCCAAUAGCGUAUAUUAAAGUUGUUGCAGUUAAAAAAGCUCGUAGUUGGAUUUCGGGGCCAGUAGGUUGGUCGUGCCACUGGUAUGCACUGGUCUCACUGGUCCCCUCCUUCUUGUAGAACCGUGAUGGCAUUAAUUUGUUGUUGCGGGGAAACAGGACUGUUACUUUGAAAAAUUAGAGUGCUUAAAGCAGGCUCGCGCUUGAAUACAUUAGCAUGGAAUAACGGAAUAGGACGAUCGAACCUAUUUUGUUGGUUUCUAGGAUCGACGUAAUGAUUAAUAGGGAUAGUUGGGGGCAUUAGUAUUCAAUUGUCAGAGGUGAAAUUCCUGGAUUUAUUGAAGACUAACUACUGCGAAAGCAUUUGCCAAGGAUGUUUUCAUUAAUCAAGAACGAAAGUUAGGGGAUCGAAGACGAAUCAGAUACCGUCGUAGUCUUUAGCCAUAAACUAUUGCCGACUAGGGAUCGGAUGAAGUUAAUUUUUUAAAUGUAACUCAAUUCG